GUAAUGAUGGCGAAGAGGUCACACCCGUUCCCAUUCCGAACACGGAAGUUAAGCUCUUCAGCGCCGAUGGUAGUUGGGGGUUUCCCCCUGUGAGAGUAGGACGUUGCCAG
rnacentral:rRNA from 1 species